rnacentral:rRNA from 1 species
CCUACGGGUGGCAGCAGUGAGGAAUAUUGGUCAAUGGCCGGAAGGCUGAACCAGCCAUGCCGCGUGAAGGUCAGUGCCCUAUGGGCGUUAAACUUCUUUUGUGCGGGAGCAAUAAUGGUCACGUGUGGCCAGACGAGAGUACCGUACGAAUAAGCAUCGGCUAACACCGUGCCAGCAGCCGCGGUUAUACGGGGGAUGCCAGCGUUAUCCGGAGUUAUUGGGUUUAAAGGGUGCGUAUGCUGUGAGGUAAGUCAGCGGGGAAAUGCCCCGGCUCAACGGGGUGAAGUGCCAUUGAUACUGGCUGGCUGGAAUGCGGAUGCCGUAGGAGGAAUGUGUGGUGUAGCGGUGAAAUGCAUAGAUAUCACACAGAACACCGAUUGCGAAGGCAUCUCACGAAUCCGCGAUUGACGCUGAUGCACGAAGGCGUGGGUAUCAAACAGGAUUAGAUACCCCUGUAGUC